GGAAGUAAAAGUCGUAACAAGGUUUCCGUAGGUGAACCUGCGGAAGGAUCAUUAAUAAACCUAGUCGUUCGCGUACACAGGGGCAACCCUCGCGCGAUGUCAGCAAUACCUAGGUCACCCUUGAAUAAACUACCCUUGUUGCUUUGGCGGGCCGCCCCUCGGGGCCAGCGGCUUCGGCUGCUGCGCGCCCGCCAGAGGACCACAACUCUUGUUUUUAGUGAUGUCUGAGUACUAUAUAAUAGUUAAAACUUUCAACAACGGAUCUCUUGGUUCUGGCAUCGAUGAAGAACGCAGCGAAAUGCGAUAAGUAAUGUGAAUUGCAGAAUUCAGUGAAUCAUCGAAUCUUUGAACGCACAUUGCGCCCUUUGGUAUUCCGAAGGGCAUGCCUGUUCGAGCGUCAUUAUAACCACUCAAGCCUUCGCUUGGUAUUGGGGUUCGCGGCUGCGCGGCCCCUAAAAUCAGUGGCGGUGCCUGUCGGCUCUACGCGUAGUAAUACUCCUCGCGUCUGGGUUCCGGUAGGUUGCUUGCCAGCAACCCCUAAAUUUUUUACAGGUUGACCUCGGAUCAGGUAGGGAUACCCGCUGAACUUAAGCAUAUCAAUAAGCGGAGGA
rnacentral:rRNA from 1 species